GAUGAACGCUAGCGGCAGGCUUAAUACAUGCAAGUCGAGGGGCAUCAAGGUACACGAAAGUGUAUUGUUGGCGACCGGCGGACGGGUGAGUAAUAGGUAGGUAACCUACCUCAUACUGAGGCAUAGCUGGGAGAAAUUCCAGGUAAUUCCUCAUGAGGUUAUAUGACACAUGUGAUAUAAUCAAAGGUAUCGCAAGGUACUGGUAUGAGAUGGGCUUACUGACCAUUAGCUAGUUGGUGAGAUAAGAGCUCACCAAGGCGAAGAUGGUUAGGGGUUUUGAGAGAGAGAUCCCCCACAUUGGAACUGAGAUACGGUCCAGACUCCUACGGGAGGCAGCAGUAGGGAAUAUUGGGCAAUGGGCGAAGCCUGACCCAGCCAUGCCGCGUGAAGGAAGACGGCCUUAAUGGGUUGUAAACUUCUUUACUAUGCGACUAACUAGAUUUUACGAGAUAAUUCUAAUAGAAUGUAGCAUAGCAAAAGCACCGG
rnacentral:rRNA from 1 species